rnacentral:rRNA from 1 species
GCCCCGUCUGGGGAGCGUGCCCAUGGGUGAGUAACGCGUGGGAAUCUUCCCUUGACUACGGAAUAACGCAGGGAAACUUGUGCUAAUACCGUAUGUGUCCUUCGGGAGAAAGAUUUAUCGGUCAAGGAUGAGCCCGCGUUGGAUUAGCUAGUUGGUGGGGUAAAGGCCUACCAAGGCGACGAUCCAUAGCUGGUCUGAGAGGAUGAUCAGCCACAUUGGGACUGAGACACGGCCCAAACUCCUACGGGAGGCAGCAGUGGGGAAUAUUGGACAAUGGGCGCAAGCCUGAUCCAGCCAUGCCGCGUGAGUGAUGAAGGCCCUAGGGUUGUAAAGCUCUUUCACCGGAGAAGAUAAUGACGGUAUCCGGAGAAGAAGCCCCGGCUAACUUCGUGCCAGCAGCCGCGGUAAUACGAAGGGGGCUAGCGUUGUUCGGAAUUACUGGGCGUAAAGCGCACGUAGGCGGAUCGAUCAGUCAGGGGUGAAAUCCCAGGGCUCAACCCUGGAACUGCCUUUGAUACUGUCGAUCUGGAGUAUGGAAGAGGUGAGUGGAAUUCCGAGUGUAGAGGUGAAAUUCGUAGAUAUUCGGAGGAACACCAGUGGCGAAGGCGGCUCACUGGUCCAUUACUGACGCUGAGGUGCGA